rnacentral:tRNA from 1 species
GCCCGUAUGGCUCAGCGGGAGAGCGCCGCCUUCACACGGCGGAGGUCCCAGGUUCGACACCUGGUACGGGCA